UAACUAGGUUCUCUCUUAUUUUUAAAAUUAUUGUACUGUCCUCUUUGUUAAGAUUUAUACAUUUUUAUUAGGGGCUUAUUGCGUUUCACGCGGAAUAUUUGCUUAGUAUUGUUAUGUAUAAUUUUGUGGAUGAUGUAAUUAUGUGGUUGUCUUUAUUUGUUAAGAGCAUUGUUUGAUAUUUUUAUUGUGUUAUGUAGUAGUAGGUGAUAUCUAUCUAUAUCUUAUAUAAUAAAUUAGAGUUCAGUCUCUCCACAAUCAUCCACCUCAGCAUAUAGAAUGGGGGAAUUAGUGACACGUGGCUUCUCCUAAAUUUAUAACUUGCUUUUUCACAAAAGCCUUAUGAACCAAACGACCAAUCGCUGAAUUUGUCGAUUGGCAUUUUUUCUUAAUGUUGAAACCUAAUGUCUAUUUACUUUAUUUUCCAAGUGUUUAAUCAGACAAUUGAAGAAACAAAGCUCGGCUCCUAGCUCGAAAUUGAUAAUCCUCACCAUUAAUCAUCAAAUCAAUCAGAUCUAGGCUAUGGUGAGUUUAUGGUUCAAAUCAGUUCUAGGCUACGGCAGGUUUAAGGUUUAAUCAGGUUGGAAGAAGAUCUAGGAAGUGGUAUGGUGGGUGCUCUCUGUGAUUGUUUUUUUUGUUUCUCUGAGAUAUAUCAGUUUGAUUUAUGGUUUUGUUUGUUUCUUUUGAGUAAUAUCAGUACUCUUACAUUAUCUUAUGUUUAAGGCGUUUUUAAUUAAAAAAACACUUUUUUAAUAUUUUUCAGGCUUGAUUCUUCUUUCAUCAGCUUAUAUCUGGAGUUAGUUAUUGUCAUGCGAUGGUAUGUAAAUAAAAUGUUCUUUCAGCUCAAGGACACAUGUUUUAUUUAUCUUGAUGUUUGAUGAUUGUAUGUGUUUGCUUACACAUAUUAAUUGCCAGACAUCUACUCUUCAUUCAUGGGACUAGAUACUCAGUUAGAUUUAACCACUUGGAAGUAGUUGAAGUUCCAGCAUGAGGUCUGGCAAACCUUAUUCAGUAACGAGCUUCUUGCUACGCCAGUAUCCAUAUAUUUUUAAGUUAGUACAACUUUGUAUUGCAUAGCUUUACUCUGUUAUCCUGAGAUUUUUGUUGUUAUCUAAAGGAGUAAACUUCACGGAUAUGUUUGGAUGUCCAUUCUACAUUUUUCCUGAAGUUCUGACCAAGCAUUACGAUCCAGAAGCAGAUAUUUCGAGCGCAGGCGUGAUGGUUUAUGUUUUACUCUGGCUCAGCUCCGUUUUGGGAGGUAACUUUCACAAACUUUUAUACGUCUUUGGAUGUUUCUCAUGUGUGUUACUAAUCUAAACAUAAACAGAAGAAGAAAGCUUUCAAUGUCAGGUUUGAUUUGAGUCUGCUGGUGCAUCAAGGUUUGUGAUUAGGCAGUUUAAAGGGGUAGAGAUAUUAUGUCAAGACUGUAGCUAAAACUUUGACAGGAAAAGAACAGCUUUGGCGAAGAUGGCUAAAAUCUGAAAGGCUAUGACCUUAUGAUUGAGACUUAUAUGGACUGUCAUAACCCAGACAUGUAGAUGAGACUGAGAUACCUAAGGAAGAGUCUGAGGAGCAAGAGUAUUUUGAGCUCAGUAUCUGUGAUGAGGAGUGUGGGAAAGAUAUUUUCUAUAUACAUGUUAAUGACAAUAUAUUUCAUUGGCUGUUUCUGAUUUGAAAUUCUUAUUUUCCUGAGAAUUGAUUUUUGUUUAUUUGAUGUAUGCAGCAAAACAACAGUACAAAAUGGCAAAUUUAAACCCGAGGAUACUCAAAAGAUAGCUUCAUAUGAAACAUAUUUGGUGAGAAGUAGCACAAUUGCUCGGAGUUGGGAAGCUAGAACUCGGGUGUAACAAAAGAAUUCACGCAUAUUGUUUUAUUUGUUGAAACCCGAGGAUACUCAAAAGAUAGCUUCAUAUGAAACAUAUUUGGGAAGCUUGACGAUCAUCUACCAUCGUGCCUUCUUCAAAUGGAAUUACAAAACAGAGACGGAAAUUCUCAGAGACCCGUGGACAUCAUCAUGAGGUGGUAAAGAUGAGAGAUCGGCCGGAGAAGAAAGAGCGAGAUUCAAAAUUGUCACGUCAGACAUUGAGGAAGAUAGAGUCGGUAACAUUGGCUGAGCUUAAUUCCUUUGUUUUGAACGCCUCCCCACUGGUAAACACAAGAUAACCUUUGCCUCUCUUAAUUUACAUUGUUGUAGAACGUUAAGUUCCUAUGCACUGGGGUAGUAAGUGGCAUUGAUACCAUCUACUGAUGGUGCUACAUUUCGUGCACUAAGAUUUUUCGCAUACUGUAACGAGGCUUCUCCUCCUUCACUUGCGUUUCAUGUAAUAAAGAGAAUUCAAUUGGGGUUGUGAGGUAAUGUUUUAUCAGCACAAAAUUCUUCCUCCUUCCAGCUUUGUUGAUAGUAAACUUUUAUAGACAUUAUAUGUCACAUUCUGAAAUUGUUAAUGUGACAGUCUCCGAUGCAUCUGACUCAACUGAGUUUGUAGCUUUUGAUACUGUAAUAAGUUAGUUGACAAAUACCAGGGUUGGAGAGGUCUCCCAACAAAUGAACGCAGGGCUCCAAGACCCCCGGAGUUCGGCCCUUCUAUAAUGCAUCAAAAAAAAAUUUCGGCCGCACCUUCACCUUCCAGUUGAAGGUUUCUCGAUUCAACUUCUCAUCCAAACAGCAGAGCUCAUAUACAAUUGUCACUAGCGCCCAGCCCAACCAAAUUUUGAGAAUCAAGUAGCAAUGACAACCCGGUGAUUACAUGUCUGGUGGUGGAGCUGUGAAAAGAAGUUAUCCAUGUGAGAACAUGAGGGACUCAGACAUUAGAAGAAGCACUGCUGAUGGGAAUGGUGAUGGGCAAACAACUGUUCUAAGUGAACCAAAUGAGUCACCUGUAGCUGACAAGAAUACAUGAGAGGAUGCAGCAGUUCUGGAGGAAGGGCGCUCCACAAAGAAGAAGAGAAACAAUGAUAUUAUUAACAAGUUUGAUGACUGAUUGACUACGAAGAUGCGUUCACAUGAACAUUGCAUUGAAGACUUAAAAAAAAAAUCACUUUGUAUAAACUAAGACAUUUUCCUUAAACCAUGUCAUUGUUUUAAUAAGUUAAGUUUCUCCAGCUAAUCUAUGUCCAGAAAUAUUUUUUUAAUACAAUGAAUCGGCUACAUCAUAUAAAUCCACAGUUUAAAUAAAAAUGUAUACGUUGACAAAAAAAAUUGUAUAGAAUAAAAGGUAAAACAAACAUAUAAAAGGAAAAAUAAUAUAUGCUAACACAAUCGACCACAAUUUUUUUAAUAUAAUUCUUAUUAUCUUUGUAAAUUUAGAAAAACAUUUCAAAAAAUUAAAACAAAUUUGUUUUCAUGAAAAACAAUAAUGGUCGAACAAGUAUAUAAAUGAAAAAAUAAAAUAGAUAGUAUUUUUUGAAA